rnacentral:rRNA from 1 species
GACGAACGCUGGCGGCGUGCUUAACACAUGCAAGUCGAGCGGUAAGGCCCUUUCGGGGGUACACGAGCGGCGAACGGGUGAGUAACACGUGGGUGACCUGCCCUCAGCUCUGGGAUAAGCCUGGGAAACCGGGUCUAUACCGGAUAUGACUCCAUGACGCAUGUUGUGGGGUGGAAAGCCUUGUGCGGCUGAGGAUGGGCCCGCGGCCUAUCAGCUUGUUGGUGGGGUGAUGGCCUACCAAGGCGACGACGGGUAGCCGGCCUCGAGAGGGCGACCGGCCACACUGGGACUGAGACACGGCCCAGACUCCUACGGGAGGCAGCAGUGGGGAAUCUUGCGCAAUGGGCGAAAGCCUGACGCAGCGACGCCGCGUGAGGGAUGACGGCCU